rnacentral:rRNA from 1 species
AUUGAACGCUGGCGGCAGGCCUAACACAUGCAAGUCGAGCGGAUGAAGGGAGCCUGCUCCUGGAUUCAGCGGCGGACGGGUGAGUAAUGCCUAGGAAUCUGCCUGGUAGUGGGGAAUAACGUCCGGAAACGGGCGCUAAUACCGCAUACGUCCUGAGGGAGAAAGUGGGGGAUCUUCGGACCUCACGCUAUCAGAUGAGCCUAGGUCGGAUUAGCUAGUUGGUGGGGUAAAGGCCUACCAAGGCGACGAUCCGUAACUGGUCUGAGAGGAUGAUCAGUCACACUGGAACUGAGACACGGUCCAGACUCCUACGGGAGGCAGCAGUGGGGAAUAUUGGACAAUGGGCGAAAGCCUGAUCCAGCCAUGCCGCGUGUGUGAAGAAGGUCUUCGGAUUGUAAAGCACUUUAAGUUGGGAGGAAGGGCAGUAAGUUAAUACCUUGCUGUUUUGACGUUACCAACAGAAUAAGCACCGGCUAACUUCGUG